rnacentral:rRNA from 1 species
UACAGAGGGGGCAAGCGUUGUUCGGAAUUACUGGGCGUAAAGGGCGCGUAGGCGGCCCGCUAAGUCGAACGUGAAAUCCCCGGGCUCAACCCGGGAACUGCGUCCGAUACUGGCAGGCUUGAAUUCGGGAGAGGGAUGUGGAAUUCCAGGUGUAGCGGUGAAAUGCGUAGAUAUCUGGAGGAACACCGGUGGCGAAGGCGGCAUCCUGGACCGAUAUUGACGCUGAUGCGCGAAAGCCAGGGGAGCAAACAGG